AUUGCUCUGUCUCUCCAAUGCUUCUUCUUGCUAUGAAUGAAGCACAUUAUCUAGAUGACACUCUAGAGAUGAACUCUUCUCCAGGCUUCGUGACUGUGGUACUCUUGUUGCUUGGACAAACCCACGGAGACUCAGUGACCCAGAUGGAAGGCCCAGUGACCCUCUCCGAAAGGGAGUACCUGACUAUAAACUGUACUUAUUCAACAACAGGGACCCCCACUCUUUUCUGGUAUGUCCAGUAUCCCGGAGAAGGUCCACAGCUCCUCCUGAAAGCCUUUAGGGACACGGAGAAGGGAAGUCACAAAGGUUUUGAAGCCACCUACAACAGGAAAUCCAAAACCUUCCACUUGGAGAAAUCCUCAGUGCAAGUGUCAGAUUUGGCUGUGUACUACUGUGCCCUGACAGACACAGUGACAGAGUCUGCAGGGGGAGCUGAGCGCAAACUCUGAGCAGAACAGGGGCCCAGAUGCUGAGCGUCUCUGACUGAUCCACUCUGGUUCCAGCACAGUGUAUGGUGGUUUGUUCCUCAGUGUCUGCUUGAUACAAAAGUCAUACAAAUGGCUAGAGCAUAGAAACCAGAAGGUGCUGAGGUCCAGCGCCAGCAGGUCCAGGGGUUCCCAAAGGAUGAACGGCAUUGGCGAAAUAACAAAUGGACACAGACAACAGCAGUGCGUUAGACUGGCUGCUUUAUUGUGGCAAACGUGUCAUUAUAUUUGUUAGCAAUUUCCUGGUAGCGUGCAU